rnacentral:tRNA from 1 species
UACGGAGUGGUGUAAAGGUAGCAUACUAGGCUCAUAACCUAGAGACAGAAGUUCGAUUCUUCUCUCCGCAA